AACGAACGCUGGCGGCAGGCCUAACACAUGCAAGUCGAGCGGACCCUUCGGGGUUAGCGGCGGACGGGUGAGUAACGCGUGGGAAUAUGCCCUUCUCUACGGAAUAGUCCUGGGAAACUUGGGGUAAUACCGUAUACGCCCUUUGGGGGAAAGAUUUAUCGGGGAAGGAUUAGCCCGCGUUGGAUUAGGUAGUUGGUGGGGUAAUGGCCUACCAAGCCGACGAUCCAUAGCUGGUUUGAGAGGAUGAUCAGCCACACUGGGACUGAGACACGGCCCAGACUCCUACGGGAGGCAGCAGUGGGGAAUCUUAGACAAUGGGGGCAACCCUGAUCUAGCCAUGCCGCGUGAGUGAUGAAGGCCUUAGGGUUGUAAAGCUCUUUCAGCUGGGAAGAUAAUGACGGUACCAGCAGAAGAAGCCCCGGCUAACUCCGUG
rnacentral:rRNA from 1 species